AACGAACGCUGGCGGCAUGCCUAACACAUGCAAGUCGAACGAACCCUUCGGGUCUAGUGGCGGACGGGUGCGUAACACGUGGGAAUCUGCCCUUUGGUUCGGAAUAACUGAUAGAAAUGUCUGCUAAUACCGGAUGUUCUCGUCAGGCCAAAGAUUUAUCGGCAAUGGAUGGGCCCGCGUAGGAUUAGGUAGUUGGUGGGGUAACGGCCUACCAAGGCGACGAUCAGUAGCUGGUCUGAGAGGAUGACCAGCCACACUGGGACUGAGACACGGCCCAGACUCCUACGGGAGGCAGCAGUGGGGAAUAUUGCGCAAUGGGCGAAAGCCUGACGCAGCAAUGCCGCGUGAGUGAUGAAGGCCUUAGGAUUGUAAAAUUCUUUUACCAGGGACGAUAAUGACGGUACCUGGAGAAGAAGCCCCGGCUAACUCCGUG
rnacentral:rRNA from 1 species